rnacentral:ribozyme from 1 species
UAUCUAGUAACUCCUAUCCCUACUUCCCCGUGGUGCCGCCUGGGGUACGAGUAACCGUAGGAAACAUCGAGUAACCCACCCCGGUGGGACCUUAGUCAUAUGCUGACAGGAAAGG